rnacentral:rRNA from 1 species
UGGGGGUUAGGGUUGCAAAGGAGGAAGGUCUGGAUGAGUCAAGUCAUCAUGGCCUUGAGUAGGGUACACACGGGUACAAUGGCCGGUACAGAGGGCCGGAACUCGCGAGGGUAAGCAAAUCUCAGAAAACCGGUCGUAGUCCGGAUCGCAGUCUGCAACUCGACUGCGUGAAGUCGGAAUCGCUAGUAAUCGCGAAUCAGAAUGUCGCGGUGAAUACGUUCCCGGGCCUUGUACACACCGCCCGUCACACCAUGGGAGUGGGUUGCACCAGAAGUAGCUAGUCUAACCUUCGGGUCCAGAGUUGAUCCUGGUCAGGUGGAUCGUGGAGAGAACACGUGCGACCUACGACGUGUAGAAUCCACCGAACCAUUAA